CUCUAAAACAUAUGAUUCUAGAGUUUGUUGUGCCUCGUGUCUUGGUUCCUUCCUCAUUUCUUCAUGCACCUCCAUUUUCAUUCCAUUUAUAUAGUAAAAAACAACACUCAUUGCACAUAUCGAAUUACACAAAACCCUAAAAAUCUUCACUCUGUACAUUGUUCAAAACCAGAGAGAGAUUCAAGAACUGUGAUCUUCGUUGUGAACAUUUCUAUAGGGUUUGAUUCUGUACCACUGAACAGAUUUUUCCUUGCUUGUCCUCCAAGUGUGUGACUAUUCGAUUUUUAAGCUCAAAUAGAGCUAUAAUUAGGAAUUUUCAGUGUACAUUGAUGGUGCUGAUGGAUUGAGAGGUUGAUUUAUUAGACAUUCAAGUGUUAGAUUUUAGGUUUUAGAGUUGAAAGUAGAAGUUGCUAGUGAGACACAUUUUCAGUAGGUUUUUUUUUUCUUCUUCUUCGUUUCCCAAGGGUUUGAUGUGGUUUCACUUAAUUCCGACCUUGCCAGUAAGCUUUGACCUUCAAAGGUUUUUUUUUCUUCUUCUUCGUUUCCCAAGGGUUUGAUAAUGAUUACAAAAAUUGAAGGUCAAAGCUUACUGGCAAGUCGGAAUUAAGUGAAACCACAAAAGAAUUUAAGAAGUAAUUUUAUUUACUCUUUUUUUGUUCUUUAUUUAUGUUUGAAGCUAGUUUUUUUUAUGAUUUUUUGUUGUAUGAACAAUUUUUCUUUUCUGCUAUCUUUUACUCUUUGGAUAUAUGCAAAGAGUUACCAAGUGGAUUUGACCGGUCAAUUUUAGAGUAAGACUCUGCUAUACUUGCUUCUUCUUCUUCUUUUUUAUUAUAUAUUUUUUUCUCCCUCUCUCUCUUGUUAUUGUUGUUGUUGCUAAGUUUAUUUUGUUAUUGUUGGUGUCUUCAUAGUUUCUGAAAUAUUUAAAAUCCAUGAUUUUUCAUCUAAAUUUUUGGUGUAUUAAUUAUUUCUGCUGACAUUUAGAAGCAUUUUUUUUUGUCAGAGUGUAUUUAGCAAGACUUUCUGUGUUACUAUAUAAUGUGUAUCAUUCAUAACAUUAACAACAUUUUUUCCCCUCUUUUUAUAAUGGUUCAGACAUUCGACAUUUUCAUAUACAAUAGAUUUUCUUUUGUCAUUUGGUGAGUUGGAUACUGGCAAAAGUUUACCUGGUAGAUUCGACCCAUUGAUUCUGUGCAAAUUUGAUGGGUUUUCCAGUAGCAUACUGGAAAAGCAAAUAGCACCAGUUAGUGUCUCAUUGAAUAGUUCUAGGGGUAGUAAAUAUGAUUUAUCAACGUCCACUAAAGGGGUUUGGGCAAGAAUUCUCAAGGACUAUGCGGAUUUGACCCAUCAGUUCUGUGCAAAAUUGAUGGCACUUCCAGUAGCAUACUGGAAAAGCAAAGAGCACCAGUUAGUGUUUCAUUGAAUAGUUCUGCGGGUAGUAAAUUUGAUUUAUCAACGUCCACUAAAUGGGGUUUGGGCAACAAUUCUCAAGGAUUGUGCGGAUUUGAUCCA